rnacentral:rRNA from 1 species
UACAGAGGGUGCAAGCGUUGUUCGGAAUUACUGGGCGUAAAGGGCUCGUAGGUGGCCAACUAAGUCAGACGUGAAAUCCCUCGGCUUAACCGGGGAACUGCGUCUGAUACUGGAUGGCUUGAGUUCGGGAGAGGGAUGCGGAAUUCCAGGUGUAGCGGUGAAAUGCGUAGAUAUCUGGAGGAACACCGGUGGCGAAGGCGGCAUCCUGGACCGACACUGACACUGAGGAGCGAAAGCCAGGGAGCAAACGGG